UACAGAGGGUGCAAGCGUUAAUCGGAAUUACUGGGCGUAAAGCGUGCGUAGGUGGUGAGUUAAGUCUGUCGUGAAAGCCCCGGGCUCAACCUGGGAAUGGCGAUGGAUACUGGCUCGCUAGAGUGCGGUAGAGGAGAGUGGAAUUCCCGGUGUAGCAGUGAAAUGCGUAGAUAUCAAGAGGAACACCUGAGGUGAAGACGGGUUGCUGGGCUGACACUGACGCUGAGGCGCGAAAGCCAGGGGAGCAAACGGG
rnacentral:rRNA from 1 species